UGGCGGACGGGUGAGUAACGCGUGGGUAACCUGCCCUGUACAGGGGGACAACAGUUAGAAAUGACUGCUAAUACCGCAUAAGCGCACAGGACCGCAUGGUCCGGUGUGAAAAACUCCGGUGGUACAGGAUGGACCUGCGUCUGAUUAGGUAGUUGGCGGGGUAACGGCCCACCAAGCCGACGAUCAGUAGCCGACCUGAGAGGGUGGCCGGCCACAUUGGGACUGAGACACGGCCCAAACUCCUACGGAAGGCAGCAG
rnacentral:rRNA from 1 species